AAGAAGCCGUGAUCAUCUCUGAUAGUGAAGAGGAAGAUGUUGUCAUAUUAAACCCAGAAAUAAAAAAAGAUGUCAAAACACAGACCGUGAUCCCUCAACAACCACGUGCAGGUGCUUCCAAGAAGAGGAAUAAAAAGAAAUAAACCUACUGGAGAAAGAGAAAAUCAGUUUUCAAAACGAGGAGAUAGUAUUAACACAGCCCAUACACAGAUUAUGUACUCCAGUUAUUUUUCCAUUAAGCAUUGUAAUUUUUCUAUUCUUUAGGUUUUUAUUUUGGCAUUCCAUGGAAAAUUAAUAAAAAUGGCAAACAGUUCUCAGCCUGAUGCUUCAGGAAGUUCUCUGGCAAUACGACAUAGUAUAAAGGAUACUACACAUAAUACAGGCACAGCAUGGUCCCAUGUGAAGUAAUGAUUUAGAGAGCCAGUUAUCUAUAUUAUUAUCUAGAAUAUAAAACAAGUUAUAGAUGACCUGGGGAUUUUUAUUCUGCUCUCCCUUAAUUCUUUUUCCAGUACAGCAACAUUUUGAAUUUGUAUAUGCGUUAUACCUUAUUAUAUUACUUUACCGCAAAACAUACCAUAUUGAUCUUCACAGUUUAAUAAAAAAUAUGGGUUUGUCUUAAGUGGGUCGGCUGUAACACUUUCAGGCAGAGCACGUCUUGGACAUGUAUGGGAAUCUCAUCUCUGCAGGCAUUGUGUCCUGGGCGAGUGAUACAGAGAGAGGUUUCCAUUAAUACAUCCGAAUAUCGGAAUAGGGACUGAGGGGGCUGGAGAUGGGAAUGUCUUAAAGGUCUUUUGGGGUUGAUACUAAUGGUCAACCAAGCAAGUCUUCUGUGUGGCUUUCUUGCAAAGUUGUAGUAAAUUGCUGUUUUAGCACAAACAAAAUGCUGAAUAAUGCACAGCUUUGCUCUUGUUACUUUCACCAAUUCAGAAUUAGUAAGUUUUAACCCAAUACUAAAUUGAGUAGUCUUUUGAUUCUUUAUUGGGACAAACCUGAAAGUAAACCCCACUGUGACUGUAGGAACAUGGGUUUGGAACUAUCUGUUUGGUUUCCAUCAGUAAUUGAGCAUAACCCCGGCUAUGAAGCCUUUGAAAACAAGCAACAUAAACUGGACAUGUUUCAGGACACCUGGGAUUUGCUUUAGAAAUGUUAUGUAAAAUACUUUUAUUAAAUUUGUUAUUAAAUUAUUUGUUGUUA